ACUCCAGUCGUGGCGGUAAAUACGCACCAGAACGCUAGUCGCCAAUCGUUCAAAUUCAUAACAAUGGCGGCGGCAAGCAGUAGCGGGAGCACAGAGGCUGGUGGUAUAAAACUCGGCCAAAAGCCGAGCUCCGAGGGUUUGUUUACCAGCAUUGCUAUGGUGACCGGUCUGGCGUGUUCCAACGGUUUAUUAGGUAUCUAAUAAGCUGUCUAAUCACUUCAUUCACUGCCUCUUCCGUGGUCAUUACAAUAUUAUGAAUAGACUUUGUCGGGUUCGGAUUUUAUACUCUGGUGAAAAGAGAACUUUUGUCAUGUUACAUUAAUCGUAAAAUUAGUCGUUAGAUUAGUCGACUAAUCGAAAAAAUAAUCGCUAGAUUAAUCGUUUGAAAAA